UUAAUGAUAUUAUUUGAUUAAAUUUAAUUAAUUUAAUUAAUUAUUUUAGAAUAAAAAUCAUUAAUUAAAAUUAAAUUAUCAAUUACUAUGUUUAUUUAUUUUAUAACCAAAAUUUAUUAAAUAAAUUUAUAUACUAGAUUAAUUUAUCUUAAUUUAGUAUCGAUAUAACUUAUGUUUUACAUUUCUUUCUCCAAGUUUUGUAGAAUAUUCAACAUACUAAACAAAGAGAAAUUACUACUUUCUCAGCUUAAAGUUCAUAAUAAUUAAGAAGUUAGAGUAGAAAUUUUCAUGGAUUUAAAGCAAUGCUAUUAAAUAAAGUAUUUUCAUAGAUAUAGUAUUUAGCACACAUAGGAGUUAUAUAAUUUUUCUAAAUUUAGUAAAAAAAGG
rnacentral:lncRNA from 1 species